rnacentral:rRNA from 1 species
UACGAAGGGGGCUAGCGUUGCUCGGAUUGACUGGGCGUAAAGGGCGCGUAGGCGGUUCGUACAGUCAGACGUGAAAUUCCUGGGCUCAACCUGGGGGCUGCGUUUGAUACGUGCGGACUUGAGUGCGGAAGAGGGUCGUGGAAUUCCCAGUGUAGAGGUGAAAUUCGUAGAUAUUGGGAAGAACACCGGUGGCGAAGGCGGCGACCUGGUCCGAUACUGACACUGAGGUGCGAAAGCGUGGGGAGCAAACAGG